rnacentral:rRNA from 1 species
UACGGAGGGUGCAAGCGUUGUCCGGAUUUAUUGGGUUUAAAGGGUGCGUAGGCGGCUAUUUAAGUCAGCGGUGAAAGACAUCGGCUCAGCCGAUGCAGUGCCAUUGAUACUGGAUAGCUUGAGUGUUGGAGGGGUACAUGGAAUUGAUGGUGUAGCGGUGAAAUGCAUAGAUACCAUCAGGAACACCGAUAGCGAAGGCAUUGUACUGGCCAACAACUGACGCUGAGGCACGAAAGCAUGGGGAGCGAACAGG